AGCUUUGUGCAGUGGGAGAAUUGUAACCAAUGAGGCUUAUCCAAGGCACGACUAUUGCUAACUAAAUAUCUUACUUCUGUUUCCUAUAUUUAACCAGAAGAAACUAGGAUUUCUUCAUUCCCUCUAAGAAAG
rnacentral:snRNA from 1 species